rnacentral:rRNA from 1 species
GGUGAACGCUGGCGGUAGGCCUAACACAUGCAAGUCGAACGGCAGCACAGUAAGAUCUUGCUCUGACGGGUUGCGAGUGGCGGACGUGUGAGGAAUACAUCGGAAUCUACUUUUUCGUGUGGGAUAACGUAGGGAAACUUACUCUAAUACCGCAUACGACCUACGGUUGAAAGCGUGGGAUCUUCGGACCUUGCGCGAUUGAAUGAGCCGAUGUCGGAUUAGCUAGUGGGCGGGGUAAAGGCCCACCAAGUCGAGGAUCCGUAGCUGGUCUGAGAGGAUGGUCAGCCACCCUGGAACGGAGACACGGUCAAGAGUACUAAGGGAGGCACCAGUGGGGAAUAUUGGACAGCAGGCGCAAGCCUGACACAGUGAUCCCGAGUGGGUGACAAAGACGUUCGGGUUGUAAUGACGUUUUGUUGGGUAAGAACAGCAGCAGGUUAAUACCAAGCCGUUCUGACGGUACCCAAAGAAUAAGCACCGGCUAACUUCGUG